rnacentral:rRNA from 1 species
CCCUUAGAUGUCCUGGGCCGCACGCGCGUUACACUGAUGCAUUCAACGAGCUUAUAACCUUGGCCGAGAGGCCUGGGCAAUCUUGUUAACGUGCAUCGUGAUAGGGAUAGAUUAUUGAAAUUAUUAAUCUUGAACGAGGAAUUCCUAGUAAACGCAGAUCAUCAAUCUGCACUGAUUACGUCCCUGCCCUUUGUACACACCGCCCGUCGCACCUACCGAUUGGAUGGUCCGGUGAAGCCUCGGGAUUGUGGUUCUUGCCGCUUUAUUGUAGCGUGACCGCGAGAACUUGUCUAAACCUUAUCAUCUAGAGGAAGGUGAAGUCGUAACA